rnacentral:misc_RNA from 1 species
UCCGAUUUGUCACCGGCAGUCUCCUAUGAGUCCCCGACAUAACUCGCUGGCAACAUAGGACAGGGGUUGCGCUCGUUGCGGGACUUAACCCAACAUCUCACGACACGAGCUGACGACGGCCAUGCACCACCUGUGCACGAGCCCCGAAGGGCUGCCGUAUUUCUACGACAUUCCCGUGCAUGUCAAGCCUUGGUAAGGUUCUGCGCGUUGCAUCGAAUUAAACCACAUGCUUCACCGCUUGUGCGGGCCCCCGUCAAUUCCUUUGAGUUUCAACCUUGCGGUCGUACUCCCCAGGCGGGGUACUUCCUGCGUUAGCGCCGGCACCCAGAGGGUCGCUCCCCCAGGCACCUAGUACCCAUCGUUUACGGCGUGGACUAC